GUGGCAUACGCAUAUACACACAUGCAGACACCUCUCAUAUACACAAAAAUAGAUUAGUUCUCAAUUUCUUUUAUUGUUUUGAGACAGAGUCUUACUGUGUAGCUCUGGAUGACCUUGAAAACUCUAUCCUCCUGCGUCAGCUUCUCUAGUUCUGGGAUUAUUGACAUGAACACAAAUGAUGACUCAAACUUAGCAUCUUUGUUUUCUCAGAGUAUUUUUUGUUUGUUGAGACAAGGCCUUGCUGUGUAGCCCAAAUGGACUCAAAUCCUCUGUCCCCAGCUUCCUAAAUGCUGGGAUUAAGGUCUGUGCUAAUUUGCCUCCCUCCUCAGUGUUUUUGAGUUUCAUGGAAACCCUUGGAAUUUAGAGGCCAGAAAGACUCCUAUUUGUGAUCUGAAAAAGAGAUUAGAAUGUAUCGUUAGCACAUAUGUACUUCAUAGCUGCCAUGCUCAUCCACACACCUAACCAUAUUCUUGGCAUUUGUUUAGAUGCCUGCUGCCUCCAUCCUAACCCUCACCUCACAGGUGUCUUCCUCUGUCCAACUCCCCUGCAUGGAGCCACAGUCAGGUGUCCUUAUUACUCUCAUGCCUCAUUCCCCUUGGCUCUGAAGCCACUGCAGUUGCUUUGUAGACAGGGUCUCACUAUGUAGCCAUGGCUGGCCAGGAACUCUCUAUGUAAGCCAGACUGGACUCAAAGACCAGCUAGCCUUUGCCUCUUGAAGGCUUUGCCACCACACCUUGCUGCCCAUACUUAAAGACCUUUAGUGUCCUGGCUCUACCCUGUUCGUUUUGUUAACCACACACCUUCCAUAUUCUAUAGAGGCAUAUCCUUUCACUGCCACACUGUUUCAUUCAGUCCACCUCCUGGUUCUUAGUUCUUAUGUUGCAUCCCUUUCCUUUAUUUUGAGACACGGCCUUGAUACGUAGCCCAGGUUGGCCCCAUAGUCCCCUGCCGCAGCCUCCCAUUACUGGAGUUGCAGACAUAUACCACCAAGCCUGUCUUCCUUUUCCCUUCUUAUGCAUGUUUUGCUUUCCAGACCCAGGUGUGGGGAUGCAGCUCCGUGGUAGAACCUUGCAAGUAUGAGGCCAUAGGAUUGAUUCCCAGCAUUGCAAUAGUGAUGAUGAUGAUGAUGAUGAUGAUGAUGAUGAUGAUGAUGAUAACAAUGAUGUGCCCUUGGAAGCCAGAGGAGGGCAUCAGAUUCAUUGGAAUUGGAGUUAGAGAUGGUUGCAAUCUACCAUGUCAGUGUUGGGAAUUGAACCCAGGUCCUCUGGAAAACCCCUGAGCCAUCUCUCCAGUCCCAUAGCAAUUAUUCCAAAGAGACAAGCAGGGAAGCCGUGGGAUGGGAGUGCCUUGCUGUGUUCCUAAUUAUGUGGUAGAAUUUUCCUUGCUGCUGUCCCUCUGCUUUAACUGGUUAGCUGGCGGCCAGCGGUCCAACAUCACCCGCCUCACGACCAUCUGCAGGAAGACCAUCACUUGGUGUAUUGCUGGUGAUGGAGGAGUGAGUCAGAACAUAUCCCUGCACUGCGGCCCACUAAGCUGCCAGCGUGGGACCCCGUUUUGAGAUCACAUAAGGAUGCACCUCUGCCAAGUGUUGCCUGUUCCAGUGUAAGGUGAUCAGAGCUCUGGAACCCACCAGUGAUGACUUUCAGUGGAUGUUCUCAGCGUUAAAUAAAAUCUAAAAGUCAUGAGCACCUGGCUUACUUUUCAGUUGUCAUCGGUGUGUGAAGUGGUGCGGGAGGAGUGGGCAGCUUUGGAGUCUGCAGAAGGCAUCCGUUGCUGGGGGUGAGGAACUCAAUUUCAAAGAUAGACACAUUUGACUGUAAACCUGACUAUAUGACCUCGAGAAUGCGGGUUCUUGGAUCUGAAUUCUUUAACAGAGUAGGAAGAAGAUACCAUACUUUCUUGCUGUGAGUCUACAU
rnacentral:lncRNA from 1 species